rnacentral:rRNA from 1 species
GACGAACGCUGGCGGCGUGCCUAAUACAUGCAAGUUGAGCGCUGAAGGUUGGUACUUGUACCAACUGGAUGAGCAGCGAACGGGUGAGUAACACGUGGGGAAUCUGCCUUUGAGCGGGGGACAACAUUUGGAAACGAAUGCUAAUACCGCAUAAAAACUUUAAACACAAGUUUUAAGUUUGAAAGAUGCAAUUGCAUCACUCAAAGAUGAUCCCGCGUUGUAUUAGCUAGUUGGUGAGGUAAAGGCUCACCAAGGCGAUGAUACAUAGCCGACCUGAGAGGGUGAUCGGCCACAUUGGGACUGAGACACGGCCCAAACUCCUGCGGGAGGCAGCAGUAGGGAAUCUUCGGCAAUGGACGAAAGGCUGACCGAGCAACGCCGCGUGAGUGAAGAAGGUUUUCGGAUCGUAAAACUCUGUUGGUAGAGAAGAACGUUGGUGAGAGUGGAAAGCUCAUCAAGUGACGGUAACUACCCAGAAAGGGACGGCUAACUACGUG